rnacentral:rRNA from 1 species
AUACGUAGGGUGCGAGCGUUAAUCGGAAUUACUGGGCGUAAAGCGUGCGCAGGCGGUUUUGUAAGACAGAUGUGAAAUCCCCGGGCUUAACCUGGGAACUGCGUUUGUGACUGCAAGGCUAGAGUACGGCAGAGGGGGGUGGAAUUCCUGGUGUAGCAGUGAAAUGCGUAGAUAUCAGGAGGAACACCGAUGGCGAAGGCAGCCCCCUGGGCCUGUACUGACGCUCAUGCACGAAAGCGUGGGGAGC